GUGAAUCAUCGAAUUUUUGAACGCAAAUUGCACUCUCCGCUGAUAGUAUGCCCAUUUGAGUUUCAGACUCUAAAAAUCGACAACGUUGCUGUUUCGCGGUGGCGUUCGUCGGUAUGUGGGUCAUCUUAAAUCCUUUUGAUUUAUGCGACGUAAAAUUUCCUUUUGGUUCCAUGAACGUUUCUUAGAUCUAUUUCUUUACACGUUUAAGGUAUCGAUUUUUACUAGACGUGACCAUCAUAUCGGAUCGCGUCCAUAAUCUUUCAUUAAGUGAUCUAAGACAGGUAAGAGUACCCGCUGAA
rnacentral:misc_RNA from 1 species